rnacentral:tRNA from 1 species
GGGGCAUUAGCUCAGUUGGUAGAGCGUUUGACUGGCAGUCAAGAGGUCACGAGUUCGAAUCUCGUAUGCUCCA